CCUACGGGUGGCAGCAGUGAGGAAUAUUGGUCAAUGGACGAGAGUCUGAACCAGCCAAGUAGCGUGAAGGAUGACUGCCCUAUGGGUUGUAAACUUCUUUUAUAAAGGAAUAAAACGAGGCACGGGUGCCUUUUUGCAUGGACGUUAUGAAUAAGGAUCGGCUAACUCCGUGCCAGCAGCCGCGGUAAUACGGAGGAUCCGAGCGUUAGCCGGAUUUAUUGGGGGUAAAGGGAGCGUAGAUGGGUUGUUAAGUCAGUUGUGCAAGUUUGCGGCUCAACCGUAAAAUUGCCAUUGAUACUUGCAGUCUUGAGUCCAGUUGAGGUAGGCGGAAUUCGUGGUUUUGCGGU
rnacentral:rRNA from 1 species